AAAUUUAGACAUGGGUGCUUGGAUCAAUUUUGUAGGCCGAAAAGGUUGAACUAAUCUAUCCAAAAGGGGUCAACCACAAUUAAUGACAAUAUGCAACCAUUGGAUUCUUGAAAUAUUUUAUGUUUUUUUGAACUUGUUUUGUACGUAUCCAUCAAUUCAAAGUUGCAUACUGUUUUUAACUUGGUUUUUAAUUCAAUGUGCUUUUCAU
rnacentral:misc_RNA from 1 species